rnacentral:rRNA from 1 species
CGAAGGGAGGCUAGCGUUGUUCGGAAUUACUGGGCGUAAAGGGCGCGUAGGCGGCCAUUCAAGUUAGGUGUGAAAGCCCUGGGCUCAACCUAGGAAUUGCACUUGAUACUGUUUGGCUUGAGUUCGGGAGAGGUGAGUGGAAUUCCCAGUGUAGAGGUGAAAUUCGUAGAUAUUGGAAGAACACCAGUGGCGAAGGCGGCUCACUGGACCGACACUGACGCUGAGGCGCGAAAGCGAUGGGAGCAACAGGG